rnacentral:lncRNA from 1 species
AGGCUCUUUCGUGAACUUAUUCCACCCUUUUUGAUAGAUUUGUUGCAUAAUUUCUCCGUUAACAUGGUCAAGUGCCAACCCCCGUUCUGGUGUUAGGGCUUUUAUCGCAAGGUAGUCGUAAUAGUCGGAAGCGGCGGCACUUAUGAACUUGCGUAUGUUAAAGGUCCUUGUUGGUGGUGUGGACCCUGAACUCUCUCCACGUUGCCACUUUGAUGUCAGUUUAGGUGCCAUUGGAUUGGAAUUGGUGUGAGCCUCCACAAAAUUUCCCCCAAACUUCACUCAAGCAAACCGUUGAACACUUGGUGUGCAAGACGUUCAAUCCCCCAAACUUAGUGAUUUGGCUUCAAUUUUGGUGAUAGAAAUUGAGAAAUUGUAAGACACACCACUCACUCUUAGUAUAUCUCCAAGCUGGUUGAUUAUCCUCUUCCUUAAUGCUGUAGAAUUUUGCUCAAAAACCCUAACCUUGAACUUUCGAAUUGGUGUGAAUUGGGAUUGUUAAAGUGUGGCGUAAAGGGAUGAUUUUAUAUAGAGGAUGUGAGGUAGAGAGGUAUGAGUGAUUGAAGUAGUGGGUAAGUGGUGGGAUGGAAUGGGGAUACGGAGAUUAAAUCGCUAAAUCGUGUGUUGAUAGUGUCUAGGAGUAGUGGGGUAGUAAGAAGUUGAAGUUGAAGUGGAAGAGUGGUGAUAACUAUUGCUCUUUAACUGCCAAAACCCCUCUUUAGUUUUGUACCCCCGCCCCGGCGGGGGGUAGUAUGCCUUAGAGGCCCGCCCUGGCUGGGAUACUGUCUGUAAUUGAACUCAGUACCCCCGACCCAGCGGGGGGAAUUAACCUUAAAGAGCCCACCCCGACUGGCAUACUGUCUGUAAUUGAUAUCACUACCUCCACCCCGGUGGGGGAUUCCUUCACAAAAAUGCCCGCCCCGGCGGGCAUGCCUUCUACAAGUCCACUUGAUUUUUCCCAUUUUUAACAUUCAAGCCCAAUCCAUAAGGUUGCUAAGUACCUGACACAUCAUUAAACAUAAAUAUGAGUCAAUAUUGAGUAACUUAAGCAUAUAAAGUUAGAUUAUCUAGAAAAUAUAACUUAACUAAUUAAUAAAAUGAAUUGAAAUGAAUUUAGUCUAAAUUAAUUAGUAUUCUAAACUACAAUCUAACUCGCAUGAAUAAAAUUACUGAAAACAAAAGUAAAAUUGGGUUGCGUCCCAACUAGCACUUGAUUUCUUUCAGCUUGACUACUCCCUGUUUAUGGUACGUCGGCAAGUGUGAUUGUGAUGACAUCCGUGUUAGAUUCACCACCCCAAUAAUGCUUCAGCCUUUGACCGUUGACCUUGAACGUCUCCAAUGGAUUCCUACUAUAUAGCUCAACGGUGCCAUGUGGAAACACCCUUUGUAUAGUAAAUGGACCCGACCACCUUGAUUUUAGCUUUCCUUGGAACAACCGCAAUAUUGAGUUAAACAAUAGUACUGAUUUCCCCAAUUCAAAACGUUCUCUGCAUGAUUUUUUAGUCGUGCCAUUUCUUGACCUUUUCUUUAUAUAACUUAGAGUUCUCAUAAGCUUGAAGUCAGAAUUUAUCGAGUUCAUUUAACUGAAGUAGCCUCUUUUCACCUCUCACUGCUUGAUCAAAGAUGAGUUUCUGAAUUGGCCAAUAGGACUUAUGUUGUAACUCCAUUGGUAGGUGACAUGCUUUCCCGUAGACCAAUUGAUAAGGGGACAUCCCAAUUGACAUCUUGUAAGCAGUCCUGUAUGCCCAUAAUGCAUCGUCCAAUUUGAGAGACCAAUCUUUUAUGUUCGGGUUUACUACCUUCUAUAAGAUUCUCUUCACCUCCCUGUUUGAAACAUAUGCGUGCCCACUUGUUUGGGGGUGAUAUGUCGUCGCCACCUUAAGAUUGACCCCAUAUUUUGCCAAAAGAGCUGUAAACGAUCUGAUGCAGAAAUGACUACCCUCAUCACUUAUAAUAGCUCUUGGCGUGUCAAAUCUUGUAAAAAUAUUCUUUUGCAAGAAUUUAAGAACCACUUUGGCAUCGUUUGUGGGAAGUGUUACUGCUUCAACCCAUUUUGAUACGCAGUCAACUGCAAGCAACUUGUAUUGGGUAUUGAAGGAGGAAGGAAAUGUCCCCAUAAAAUACAUGCCCUAUACAUCAAAAAUUUCAACUUCUAAUAUAGUUUGUAGUGGCAUUUCAUUCCGCUUUGAUAUGUUACCCACCCUUUGACACCUGUCUCAGCUUUUAACGAGCUGGUGGGCAUCCUUAAACAUUGUAAGCCAGUAGAACCCUGCUUGAAGCACUUUAGCCGCUGUUCUCUUACUUCCAUAAUGACCCCCGUAUACAGAUGAAUGGCACUCAUGCAAUAUAUUGUUAACAUCACUUUAUAGCUCACAUCGACGAAUCACUCUAUAUGCACAUUGUUUGAAUAGAUACGGCUUAUCCCACAUGUACCACUUGACAUCAUAUAGAAACUUCUUCUUUUGUUGCCGUGUAGGAUCAGUUGGAAGGACGUUGCUCUCCAAAUAGUUGGUAAAAUCUGUAAACCAUGGAAAUUCUGCAUUGACCCCAAAAAGCUGCUCAUCCGUAAAUGACUCGUUGAUUAAACAUUUAUCGGCCCCGUCUUUGUCCGGAUUUUCUAACUAUGAGAGAUGGUCUGCAACUUGAUUCUCUGUCCCCUUUCUAUCUUUUAUUUCCAAAUCAAAUUCCUGUAGGAGAAGUAUCCACCUGAUAAGUCAUAGCUUGGCAUCUUUCUUCGAAAUUAAAUACCGAAUGACCGAGUAACCCAUAUAAACCACUACCUUUGUCCCAAUCAAAUAUGCCCAGAAUUUUUCAAAGGCAUAUACUACUGCAAGUAACUCCUUUUCUGUAGUUGUGUAAUUCAUUUGGGUCUCUGUAACUGUUUAACUUGCAUAGUAUAUGGCGUGGAAUGUCUUCUCUCAGCGUUGACCUAACACAACCCCUACCGUAUAGUCUCUUGCAUCGCACAUUAAUUAAAAAGGCAUAUUCCAGUCUGGUACAAUGAUAACUGGAGCUGUAGUCAAUUUAUUCUUCAAUAGCUCAAAUGCUAACUUACACUCCUCAUCAAAUUUGAAAACUGAAUCUUUCUCUAAGAGACUGCACAAUGGUUUUGCAAUCUUAGAGAAAUCUUUUAUAAAUCUCCUAUAGAACCCAGCAUGUCCAAGAAAGCUACGGAUUCCCUUUACUGAAGUUAGCGGUGGAAGAUUUUCAAUCAUUUCCAGCUUUGCUCUAUCAACCUCUAACCCUUUUGCAGAGACCUUGUGCCCCAAGAUUAUUCCUUCUUCGACCAUAAAGUGGCACUUUUUAUCUCCACGCAUCGCUUUAGAACCAUCACCAAGUUCUCCAAAUAGAUAUCAAAAUUAGCUCCAUACACAGAGAAGUCGUCCAUGAAGACUUCCACAUUCUUUUCCACUAUGUCUGAGAAAAUGGCCCUCAUACACCAUUGGAAAGUUGCAGGUGAAUUACGUAGGCCAAAAGACAUUCUCCUAAAUGCAAAAGUGUCGUUUGGGCACGUGAAAAUGUUCUUAUCUUGAUCUUCAGGAGCAAUUACUAUUUGAUUAUAUCCUGAAUAUCCAUCCAAUAAGCAAUAAAAUUUGUGUCCCACUAAUCUAUCCAACAUCGGAUCAAUAAAAGGCAAGGGAAAGUGGUCUUUGCAGGUUACCUUAUUCAACUUCUUGUAGUCCAUGUAAACCCUCCAACCAGUUACGGUCCUCAUUGGAAUUAAUUUAUUGUCCUCAUUCUGCACUACGAUCAUUCCUCCUUUUUUCGGCACACAUUGAACCGGACUGACCCACUUACUAUUUGAAAUUGGGUAGAUGAUUCCCGCAUCCAACCACUUCAGAAUUUUUUUCUUCACUACUUCUUUCUUGAUUGGAUUGAGCCAUCUCUGUUGCUCCACUAUUGGCUUUACAUCAUCUUCCAUAAGAAUUUUGUGCAUCCAAAAGGAUGGACUGAUUCCCUUGAAAUCUAUAAUUGUCCAUCCUAUAGCCAAUUUGUGUUCUCUAAGCACUCUCAGCAACUUAUUUUCCUACAAUUCGUUAAGCGCAGCAAAAAUAAUAACAGGUAAAGUAUUAGAAUUGCCUUAAUAUGCAUACCUGAGGUGUUUAGGGAGUGGUUUAAGCUCAAGUGUACGUGACUCCUCCAAAGAGGGUUUCAUCCUUGCCAUGGCUCUUUCCUCUGUGUGUAAUGGUUCAAAGGGUGCUUUGAAUCUGCUCACUCGUGGCAAAGAAUCCAGCAUCUGCAAAUAAUCCACAAACUCUGGAUCAUCAAAAUCUUCAUCUCCCAAUAAUAUAGUUUCUAAUGGGUUAUUAAUCAAACUUUUAGCCAUGUCUUCAUUAACUAUCCGAUCAAUGACAUCCACCCGACAACACUCUUCUUCAUCCGUAGGAAACUUCAUGGCCUUAAACACAUUGAACUUGACUUCCUGAUCUUGAACUCUCAUAGUUAGUUCACCUUUUUGCACGUCGAUGAGAGUCCUACCCAUAGCCAAAAAUGGUCUCCCUAGGAUGAUUGGGAUAUUCUUAUCUUCCUCAAAAUCUAGAAUUAUGAAGUCCACUGGAAAUAUAAACUUAUCCACUUUUACCAGAAUAUUUUCCACAAUUCCUCUUGAGUACGUGAUUGACCUAUCCGCCAACUGUAGAGAUAUAUUAGUCAGUUUCGGAGCUGGUAAACUCAGUUCGGUAUAUACUGAUAACGGCAUGAGAUUCAUACUUGUCCCCAAGUCACAUAAACACUUUUGAAAUGCCAUGUUCCCAAUCGUGCACAGAAUAGUGAAACACCCCGGAUCUUUCAACUUUAGCGGUAACUUCCUUUGUAGUACUGCACUGCACUCCUCCGUUAAUGUUACAAAUUCAAAAUCUUCCAACUUAUUUUUUUGUGACAGAAUUCCCUUCAUAAACUCAGCAUAACUGGGCAUCUGCUCUAAGGCUUCAACAAACAGAAUAUUUAUUUGAAGUUUCUUAAAAACUUCCAAAAAUUUGGUGAAUUGCUUAUCCAAUUUCUGUUUCUGAAUUCUUUGCUGAAAUGAUGGAGGAGGAUACACAACCGGUUCGUUAACUGUCUUGCUAUUUUCCACCUACUUUUCUUCCCCUUGUUUGUCCUCAACUACUUUGUUUUCACCUUCUUUAUCAUCAUCUUUUACAGCCAAAUUUUCUGUUUUCUGAUUCUCAAGAUGUUUUCCACUCCUUAACAUAAUUGCUUGACAUUACUUAUGAUUCCCCAUUUAGAUUUUUCUCUGUAUCACUGGGUAAAGUUCCUUGAGGCCUAUUAUUUAAUGCAAAAGCCAGCUGUCUCAUCUGAUUCUCUAGGUUCUUGAUGGCUACAGCUUGUGAUUUCAUAACUGCCUCGUUGCUCGUUAUAUACUUCGACAAUAACUCCUCUAAAUCUAUCUUUCUCUCUUGAUGUUGAGUUGUUUGUUGAUGUUGAUUUUGAAAUCCUGGGGGAAAAAAUGGUCAUGGAACUUGCUGAUGCUGAUUAUUACUCCACAAAAAAUUAGGAUGAUUCCUAUUCCCCGGAUUAUAUGCAUUCUGGUACAUGUUCUGUGGAAUACUGUUGUAGCUACCCACAAAUUGCACUAACGCUGAGUUGAUUUCACAUUGAUCCAUAGGAUGUUCACCUGUGCACAAUUCAAAAAUAAAUGCAACUUGUUAAGUCUAUACCCCCGACAAAGAAUCCACCUUCUUAGAUAGUGCUUAAAUCUACGCUGCUAAUGUUGUCACUCAAUCUACCUCUAACACCCCAGCCACCUUAGGUUGUGUCAAUCUUUCCAUGGGCCACUGAUAAUUGUUAGCCGCCAUUGUUUCUAUCAAUUCAUAUGAUUCCUCAUAACUCUUUGCCAUAAAUGCUCCACCCAAAGCCGCAUCUAUACUGGUCCUGAGAUUCCCAUUCAACCCGUUGUAGAAUGUGUUCAUUUGUAGCCAUUUGGGCAAUUCAUGAUGCGGGCACUUUCUGAGAAAUUCCUUGUAUCUCUCCCAUGCCUCACACAAUGAUUCCCCAUGCUGCUGUUCAAACAUGGUAAUCUCGUUUCUCAUCUUUACAGUCUUCGCUGGUGGGAAGAAUUUUGUUAGAAAUUUUUGAGCGAGGUCUUCCCAUAUAGUUAUUGAUCCCGGCGGUAGAGAGUGUAACCAACUCUUCGCCUUGUCCCGUAGAGUGGAUGGGAACAAGCGAAGCCUAACUGAAAGUGUCACAAAUCUCUAAAAAGCUGACCAAAUGUUCGUUCGAAUCGUCAUUUGCUAGUCCCCUAAACUGUACCGAGUUUUGGAUAAUCUGAAUAGUUCCAGGCUUAAUCUCAAAUGUAUUCGUAGCUAUAGUAGGCCUGGUGAUACUUGACUGCAACUCAGUCACCUUAGGUGUAGCAAAAUCUCUCAACGCUUUCUAGUCUUCGACAACCAUUGCUUCUUCUUUUUCAAAAUUCUCGAAGUCUUCCCUUGUCUCCUUACUUAGCCUUUGAAACCGUCUCUCAAUGUCGUCCUCAAAAGGAAGCAAGUCUGGAUUUUUGGACUGAGUUUGCAUAAAGCAACUUCAAGAACCUAAAAUAAGAACGAACAAAGUAAAAAAAAUUAAGUAAAACUGAACUAAUUAAACUGAUAUUUCAAAAUUAUUAAAAUCUAUACUAUUAUCCCCGGCAAUGGCGCCAAAAACUUGUUGGGUAAAAUCUAAUUAUGCACAACACGGAAGUAUACGUGGUCAACAAGUAAUAUAACAGUAAGUAAAGUAUAGUUUCCACGUAGAUUAGCAAGAAAUUAACCCUUACAAUUAUCAGCUUCCUAUUAAUCCAAAUUUUAUUAAACUAUCCAAUUUAAGAAUUAUAAUUAUAAAAACUAAAUAUAUUUAAAAUACUAAAAUCACAAAACAAUCACAAAUCUUAAAAAUUGAAAUUUCAAACAUGUAUUGGAGAAUUAGGCUUACAACUUCACCCUAAGCUUCACUCUGAUUAUUUCCCUUUAUUCUAGUUUAAUUCACUACCCAAGUUUAUUAAUGAAGAACACGUAAGUAGAACUAGCCAUCUCUCAAUUUACUAAUACCAUAUUAACUUAAAUCCAUAAAUUAGAUAGAAUUAAGUUAAAUACCUCAAUUAACUAACUCACUAUAUCUCUAUGUGAAUUACAAUCAAAGAAGGUUUAAGUUCAAGUUCUCUAUUCGAUUACAUGUGAUACUAGGCAUAUCUCUACCCUAACAUUCAUCAAGUUCCAUUCAUUCACAGAAUUCAAGAACACAUGAUAUAUUAACUAAGUCUAAACUCGUAUUUCCUCUCUCGAAUCCAUACAAGUCCACAAAGAAUUGGUGAUCAAUCAAUUCAUAAAUUCAAGCAUAAAGUAAUAUAGAUAAACUGAGGAAUAGCUUAUUAAACUGAAAAUCAAAGUUACGUAAUCAUUGUUCCACCCAAAGAUCCAUUAUAAGCCUAAAAAGUAAUUUAGUUCAUCAUCAAUGAAUUAAAAAUAGAAUUAAUUAAAGUAAACAUCGCCCCAAUUACAAAUAUUAAACUAAAGAAGAAGAAGAAAUCCAAAAGCAGCCUUCUCUCUAGUGUCAAUCUGCAAUUAUUGUGAAAUCUGCUUCAAAAUAUUCCUCCAAUGCUCUCGUUCCAAACUCUAGCUUCCAGGUUGUUAAUUGCUUGUAAGGUAUAUCAAUCUUGUUGUUUAUUGUUAAUUUUUAUACCAAGAAAUGUAUUCCGCCUCUAAUUCCAUGCACAAUUGAGUUCCAAGUCGUCCCACUCACUAAUCCUCACAUUGUUGUAGCAUUUGAAACCAAGCAGGAGACUUCUCUUCCCCGUACCCCCGCCCCGGCGGUGGUGUUGCCUUGUAAUGAGCCUGCCCCGGUGGGCAUUAAACUGUCCCUUGAGUUGCAUAACCCUUCCCCAAUGGGGGUUUUGUAUAGUAAAUAGCCAGCCCCGGUUGGCAUACCUUUUGCUAGUUGUCCACUUUUAGCUCCAAACUUGCCAAAUUUCACCAUAAUUCCACCCUUUUUGUUCAAUUACCACGCCACAAUACCUAAACACAAAACAACACUAAACAAGUAAAAACGAAACAUAAAAACAAAGAUUUAACACAAUUUAAGCUUGAAUUAGUGCCCAAUUCGUAGGUAUAAAACCCAUUCAUCAGUACCAUAUGGGCUACUAGUAGAGACACGAUGUGCACUGAGUCCUAGAAUAGUUAUAAGAAGAAGAUAAGAAUGUAAAUCAUCAAAUAUGAUGAUCGCAUGAGUAAGACAUCUCCGUAUGUCAUGAAGCCGUAAAACGGUAAAGGAAGUUGGUAGCGUAAACUUAGAUUGCAAGAACGCGAACCCUAAGAAGUAAAGAAAAGUUUAAACCAAUGCAUAAAGUCAAGUAUAUGACUAAUUAGUGUAUGUGCUAUUUCCUUAUAUGUUUUAUAGGGUUUGAAAUGAGCAGUUCAGCGUAAACUAUAAUCUAUAGCUGUGCGUAAGGUAAGUUUCCUAACUUAAUUCAUAUUUUAAAUGAAUGCUAGUUUCUUAAGCAUCUCAGAUGUUGAACAUGAGAAGUUUUAUCUAUGUGCGAAUGUGUGAUAUUUGUACAAGGUGGUAGAAUGUGUGAGGCCUUGUGCCACAACUUUAACACUUUGGUGUUUCAAUGAGAUGAACUGUUCUGUGAUUGAACUGUUCAAAAUUAGAAUGUUCUGUUUAUACAUGAACGAUUAUUUUUAGGUCUGUGCUAAUGAUUCUAGUCGGACAUGAUUUGUAUGGAAAACAAAUAGAAGAAUGAAAGUAUUUCAAAGUGAAUGUGACUAAUGUUUUAAAAUGAUAGAAAACAUAUUUAUUCCUAUUAUUCAAGCUUCUUAAUAAACUUUGUUCGGAUAUUGAAGUCUUAAAAGAAUGUUUAAUUUCUUGAUGUUGUUUAUUCAACUACUAUGACUUGCUGAGCAAUUGAAUGCUCACACUUGCUUUAAAUAAAAAUAUUUUCAGCGAACGAUGUUAGAAAGAACUUAAGGAUCCCGUAAAGAUCAAGUUGACCGGUAUCCAGAAGAAGUGUCAUUCAGUAUAUGAAUGUGCGUGAAGAUCAAGCCAAGACUUGUAAAGUAUAAUAGUUUAACUAAACUAUAGACUAAUUUAAUGAAAUGUUAUGUAUCCUUGGUGGCGUAUAAAAGUCACUCUUGUAAGAUGUAAAGAAUAAUGUAAUUAUCAUUAUUUAUAAUGAACGAGGUUAUAAGGUAUUAGAACCUGAGAUUUGAGAAUGUAUGUUGUUAUAUUUAGCUAUAUAAUGAUGUAUGUUUCGCAAGAGACGGGACCGUGACGUAUGGAAUCCGGGUGAGAAGAUAGACCAAAUUUUGGGGCGUUACACUUUAUCAUAUCCAUUCCAUUACAUUGCAUGAAUAUGAUAAAGAGGGGCAUAUCAGAUCUUUUCAAAAUUGUUUUUCAAACAAAUCUCACCUAACAUGAGAACACCAAAAGACAAGAACAGAAAGGGAUAAAUAAAAAUCCCGAGUCGACAGGAACUCCACAAUAUGAGUUUACCAUGGCCCUUUUUAAUGUAACGCCCCCAUAUCUAUACUCCCACGGUAUUCGAUAUGGUGCUUACUACUAGUAAAUGUAUAUAAUGCAUUAUAAUCUAUACGCUCAUGGUAUCUGAUUAUAUGCUUAUAUCUAAUUGAGUGACUAUACAAUUAUAACCAGAUGCAAUUCCCAUAGUUCCAAGAUUCAUAGUAUCCCAUAACAGAUAACAAUUCCUAGGAGAACUAUUGUUGUGUUUGGAUACCCUCACUUGGAUGUAUGAACUGUAUUUGCGAAUAGUAACUAUCUAUCCAAAAUUCAGAGUACUAGUGUUAACAUGAACGUUCCAUAUUACCAAUACCCUCACUCAGAUGUAUAGUCUAAAUCAUGCGAAUUACACUAUCAUAUCGAUAGUACCUAUCUAUCUGAAAUCUAGAGUAUCAACAACAACAUGAACUAUCCAUAUUGUCAAUACCCUCACUCAGAUAAAUAGUUCCCCAGGAUCUCAAACUAGAUUGAAAAUUCUAAUUACAUCUAUAUAUGUAAAGAAAACACGAUUACAAAAAUAAAAGAUGUUAUAUAUAUAUAUAUCAUAUAUUAAGGUUCGAUUACAUAAUUCUUCCUAAGAAUUUCUAAUUACAAAAGUAUUGCAUUCAACUAGACAAUAAUAUAAACUAAUCUAAGUAGGGACGCUUCCUUUUACUAACUCCAGAUGUCCCAAGGUUACCAUCUAAUACUGCAAAGGGAAUAAUUUGCAAGGGUGAGGUAUGACAUGCUCAUCAGGUUUUAUAUUUAUAAUAAUAUAUGAUUUGAAGAAGUAUAACAGUUCAAAACUCAACUGAUUGUUGUUACCAUAUUUUGAAUUUUUAUUUCAACCAUUUGUGGAAUUUUUAUUUCUGUUAGUCACAAAGACUUAGAAAUUUUGUUUAGAUGUGAGAUAGGGGAUCAGCCUAUUCAACAUCCUAAGAGUAUGCAUCUCAUCCUACUUGUGCUCACAUGCACUAAAUGUCAAUAUUUAACUAACCCAAUAUCUAUUGUAAUAUCCCAAGUGUUUAUGAAUUGAGUAUGUGAUAAUGAUCCUUAGAGGAAGGUAAUGAAUGUGUUAAAGAACAUGUAAUACUAAAAUAUAAUUGAGUUUAAGUAAAGGUUAUGAAAUAAAACAUACAAGAAUUUAUUGUGAAGAAUUGUUGGAGUGGUAAUAAAUAAAACAUAUAUUAAGGUAAUGUGUUGAAGAUAUGCAACGAUAAAUUUUAAAAAGAGAUUUGGUGAUAACCGAGUAAGGGAGGUUUCGUUGAUUCCGAGGACAAAAUCCUUAUUAAGGGGGGAAGGAUGUGACAACCCGAAUUUUUAGAAAUUAUUAAAUAAGAAUUUAAAAAAUAAAAUUCUUAUUAUUAGAUGUAGGAUUUUUAAAUAUGUGAUUUAAUGUGAAAAACAAUUAAAUAUAUAUGAGGUUUAAUAUUUAAUUAAACUAUUAAAGAAAUUAAAUUAAAUUGUUAUGGAAAGGAAUUAACUAAAUAAAUAUUGGUUAAUUUAAAUAAAGUUGGGAAUUAUAUUAUGAAGUAAUAUAAUUUAAUUUUCAUGCCUUAAUUGGCGGAUGAAAUUAUUAUGAAUUAAAUUUCAUAAAUAAUGUGAGUAAUUCACUUAAUUAAAAUAGUGAAUUAGUGUACGCAUAUUUGUUUUAAUAAAUGAGUAAGUGAUAUAUUACACAUGAGUGUAAUAUAUUAAUGUAAUACGAUUGUGGAUCUCGUAAAUAGUUAAAAUAUUUAUCGAAUAAAAUAAAUAUUUUAGUUAGAAUAUUUAUGGAAUUUAAAAUGAAUAUUUGAUGGAAAUUAUUUUGGGAUAAUUUAUGUAAGUGUGAUACUAUUGAUUAAAUUAAAUAAUUGAAGAAUUGGUGCGUAUUUUAUUACUUGAGGAUAAUGAUAAUAUUUUAAUUUAAUUAAAUAAUUAAAUUAGAAGAUUAAUGAUUUAUUAAAUAAAAUUAUACUUGUUUAAUUAGAGAUUAUAAUUUUGUUAGUAAUAUUUAAUUAGAUUUAUUAAUAAAAUAAGUUUAAUUAAAUUUAAGUGUGACAAAUAUAACAUAUGAUAAAAAAAAAAGUUAUUAAAAUAAUUGAAAGAAACAAGGUCUUGUGACCUUUGGAGUUUGGUAACCGAUGAAGGAAUUGAGUUUUUACGUCAAAAACAAAACUGAUCAGUUAGCUUGUUCUUCAGUAAAAUGAAAUUUGGGAGAGAGGGAGUGAGAGAAAUCUAUGAGAAUUGGAGAAGAGCUUUGGAAGAACAAGAAGAAAAGAACCUUAUUCAUCAUCUAAUUGGGUUAAGAAGGAAUCAAAAGGUAUUAAUCCAACCUUAAAACUCUCUACUCUUAUUUGCCUCAAAUAUUAGGUUUCUAUAAAAUUAGUUUGGGUUGAUGAAGGAUAAGGAUAUAUUUGUUUAUAGGUGUGUAUAAUUUGUGAUAUGUCAUCUAUUAACGAUUUCAGAGUUUUCAAAUUCAUGUAAAUAUAUUUUUAGAAUAAGGAAUUUUGUUCAUGGAUUAGUAUAUGUAUUUUGGUCUAUUUAAGCCUUUAAUUGAUGGUUAGAUCAUGUAUAUAAUCUGAAAUUGGUGCUAGAUAUUGUUAGUAGAUUGAAUUAAGAAAAAAAAUGAAGGUUAAACAGAUUAAUUUGAUUAAGAAAUGAAUUCGUAGUGAAUGAAUUCGCUACACGUGUUAAAACAUGAAAAUAGAAUAUGAACAUGAGUUUUGGGUUAAGAUUUAGGUUGCUUAUUGUUUCUUUAAAUUGUUAUAAUUCUAUUAUGUUGUAGUUCUAUGAAUUACAGAUCAAAAGAAUCGAAAACGGAUUAAUUUGGAUGUGUAUAACUCAAGUUAUGAAGAUUAGAAGGAGAAAAAGUUCAAAAAUAGCGAAAACAAUAAACUAUAGAAUCUGGCUCUGCUAACGGGCACAGCUGCGCUGUGUCCAAGGCUUAAUUGGUCACAAUUGUAAGACCCCAACUUAUUAUAAAUAAAAUAAAAUUUCCUCUAUUUAUUAUUUUGAAAUAAUAAGGGUUAAUUUGAUUAAUGUGGUUAGUUAUGGGUAAAAUGCGCAAAUAUCUUAAAUAAGCAAGUGGUUAUAAAAUAUUCAUUGUUGUCGGGGAAUUUCGUUUGGUCGUGGAAUAUUCUUACUGUCGGAGAAUAUUCGUAUGACGGCGCAGCCUUGUGUGGGCCCCACAACAGAAAGCGAUUGGAUAACGAAAAUGACAAGUAUAAGUUGUUUAUAAAUAACGGCGUAGUUGUUACUGUUAAUACUGUUGGAAUACCCGGUGGUUAAAACACAGUAAUACGUGUUAUUGCACAGUAGCACACGGUAUUGCACAAAUUAUUGAUUCUUACGUAAGAAGGCACUACUCAAUAAUUGUUACAGUAAUUAUUGUUCAAUAUUUUAUUUUAUUAAUUCAAUAAUUGCUACGAUAAUAUUUUAUAUUAUUGUUGUUUCAAUAAUUGUCACUACACAGUAUUUUCCAUUAUCAGAUCAAUAAUUCAUAUUAUUUGAAUAAUAUUAUUAGAUAGCAUUAUUGGCAAUGUCUAGAAAGUUCUGUCUAAGGAGAGGUUUGGUCACCUAAUUGCGCGCCAGUAAGGAGAAAUCCUUAUUGGAAAGCCCCCUCUUUCUUGGGAACGGUCUGGUUGUCAGUAUUGUGAUUCUGUAAUAUUAUUUGUGAAUAAUUAAUUAUUGAUUUAUAUGAUAAGAAAAAUAUUCAUUUUAUGUGGAUAUAGAUGGAGAAAAUGUUUAAUGUGAUAAUUGUUGAAAAUUGAUAUUUUAUCUUUCUGAUAAAAUAAUUCAUUUAAAUAUAUUAUUAUAUUAUAAUAAUAUAAUUAUGGUGAUAUUUUUACAAUGAAUGUUGGAUAUAUGAAUAAAUGAGGAGGAAGAGUAUUUUUGUUACUAAAAAUAUUUAAAAACAUGUUUUUCAUGUUUGUGGACCCCAUUUCUUGACUAAAAUUUGAUUAUAGCCUGUAAAAUCGCCCGUAUAUGGAUUUCAGUCAAUUUCUGUUUGGAAUUUGGAAAAACAUAAACUUAAAAAGUUGUAGAGAAUUGAAUUUCUUAUGGAAUGGACAUAAAAUUCAAAUUUUUCUGAUAAAAGGACUAAAUAUUAUAAAUUAUUGAAGUUCCGGAAUAAUUGAUUUUUGGAGUUUAAAAUGUUUUUUUUAGAAAAAAGUUUUUUCCAUUUGGUGGGCCCCACUUGCACAUGUUAAUUGUUGAAAUCAGAUGUCUUUGGUGUGCGUAGGAAAUUUAUUAAAAAAUAAUAAUAUUUUUUUAAAUUUUCCGCUUUGGUGUUCUAAGCAUUUUCCUAUAAAUAGGGUGUUUAGGUUAGAAUUGAAAAUCACAUCAAAAACUAAAGUUUUCUCUCUAUAUAUUAUCGAGCAUAUUCUUAUGAGUAUUUUGAUACUUUGAGUGUUGCUAUACAGUGCAAGUUCCUUCAGCACUAUAUCCAGUAUUCCAGUCAGAAGUACUAUCUUUUUGAGGUAAGGGAUGUUAUUUUUUUUAUAAAUGAUAUUAUUUCUUUCAAUAUCAUUAUGCCGGAAUAUUGGUAAGAUUUUUCUUAUGAAAUUCUUGUCUUUUAGUGUCGAGGUUACUAUUUAUGUAUACGAUACUAUUCACAUAUACGGCACUAAUCAUGAAUACGACACUAUUCACAAAAAAAUUCAAUUUUUUUUAAUCCAAGAUAUCUAUUAUGGAUACUAGCUUUGAUUGUAUCCAUGUUUUGAUCUUCAUUCUUGAAUUUUACUCCACUAUGGUUAUUUAUGAAGUAUUUUUGAACUUGGAUUUUUUAAAGUACGAAUUCUUAAUAUUUGUUCUUUUGUUUCACUGGAUUCAUUUUCUUUAAAAUAUUUUUCAUCAUCCUCAGUCCUAAAUGAUGAUAUAACUGAAUAUCUUUGGCCUGUAGUGCAAAGAUGAAUGAUUUCCUGAUGAACAUCUUUGGCCCGUAGUGCAAAUAUGAAUAGGUGUUGAGAUGAACAUGACCAACUGAUGAAUAUCUUUGGCCUGUAGUGAAAAGAUGACUAUUUAAUUCAAGAUGUAUAUUGAUUGAUGUUACGUGGAUGAAAUAUUGAUGAUGGACUUUUAAAAUCAUAGAAGAUAGUAGAUUUCAUUCUCUACGUAACUCUUCUAAUGAAUUGUUAUUUCCGCUACGAAUAUUGAUCUGAAAUUUGUUGUCUAUUAUAUUCUAUCAGAUUUUUCCCUGUUGAAGACUAACGAUAAUUUGUUCUAUAUUAUUUUAGUCAUAAUAUUUUUACUGGGCUAAUUGAGCUCACCCUUUUCCUUUUUGUUCCAUUUUUCUUCUCAUCGGGCGAGAAUGUAGCGAGUACUAGUCGGGGUUUGGAAUGAAGGUUCUAGAAAGUUGUUUUUGUAGUCCUCACUAUUUUGUAAAAUAGUGUAUCAAUAAUUGUAAUGAGGACUUAUUUGAGUGUGGAUAUUGUCUAGAAGACAAUAUUUGUUUUUAAACUCACAAUUUAUGUGUUGUCGUAUUUUGCACGACAAUUGUAUUAAUAAAGUUGUAGUUGUUUCUAUACCAUGUAUUUGACGACUCAGAAUGGGUGAUGUAUACCUAUUUUGGGAGCGUCACAACAGUUGUGCUCUAGGUGUGUCAGGUGUGACUGUUUUGACCUCCUGUAGCAAAAUAACCAUAAGUUUUUCAUACGAACUUCGACUGAGGCGGUUCAGGAUGAUUCGGAAAUAUAACGAGUAGAACUACAACUUUCAUUUCUUAAGUUUUUCGAUUUGAGGUCGGAAACAGGGGUAAAAAUGGCCAUCUUUGGGACUGUUGUAUUUCAGAGGCAAUCAGAGGGCGUCGGGCAUGCACGUAUGCAAGUGUAGUGCUUCUGAUGAUAAAUGAUGUUGUUCUAAGUUAUAAAACAUAAAUUUUAGUAAAUAUAAUGAUGCUUAACAUUAAUAAAUGAUGUAUUAGAUAAGUUGUAUAAGUAUACUAAGCAUACACAAGAGAUAUAAAUCGGGCGUAUGAUGAAUAAACGUCAAAACGCCGUGACAAGUGUUAAGGAACGUAAAAAGUAUUUUAAGUAAAAUGAAAUGAAUAUUAUAAGAUAUAAAAUGGGGUUAAUAUAAAGCUAAUAAGUAGUCCUAGCAAGGCAUAAACACUUGAAUGAACUUCGAGUAUAAAAUAUAGUGAGAUAUAAGUCAAAAAUUAACAUAGUCAAAUUGAACAUUGUGUAUUGAUAAUAGGAAGGGUUAUGAGAUAUAGAGUAAAUUUUACAUUACAACUACUAUGCAUUGCUAUGUGACUAAUAGUUGAUGUGCAUGAUUAUAUAAUUGUGUAGGGUACGUGAAGUGUAGAUAGCUGUAAGGUGUUAAACUAUUACUUGUAAACAACGAUCAAGGCAAGUCUUUUUGUUCCUAUUUGCUAUGUGAACUUGAUGAUGAACUAUUUUAAAUCCUUUUGCAAAGAGCACGAUGUUUUAUAUAUAUGUUAAAAAGAUGAAACAUUAAAGUUAAUUUAUGACUACGUUGAAUGAAUGUUGAUUGAGUAAGGAACUCAAUCUUUAUACUUGUUAUAUGAACUGCAUCAUGUAUGUUAUGUUAGUCCAAUGUUUAUGAGAUAUAUGUUGAGCAUGUUAUUAUGUGCUUUGUGAUGCAUAAAAACUAUUGGAUUUGCUGGGCUGUCGAGCUCAACCUUGCAAAUAAUCACUUUUGCAGGUUAAGGAUUCAAGGUAGUGGUAAGUGUUACUUGAAAGACAUGAAUCAGAUGUAAUGCAUGAAGAUUGAUAUACUUUGGCUGAGUUGUUAUUAUUUGAACCAUGUUUAAGGUUCCAAAAAAUGUAUGAUGUUUAAUAGAUGUUGAGUUAUAAAGUUUAAGUUUUGUUCAUUAUAUAAAGGGCAUUGAACCUGGAGGUAAGUUUUAUUUAUUAACUCUGAUAAAAUGAGUAAUAAACUAAGUAUGGUUCAAAGGUAGGUAAAGAUAAAGGUUUUGAGAAAUGUAAAUCACAAUAAUUAUGUAAUAAUAAGUUGUAAAGUUUGAGUUAUCUGAUAUGUAAAGGUUAUCGGAUUGAAAUGUAAGAUUCUAUAUAAUAACUUUGAUGAAGAGAAUCAUAAAAUAAAAUUGAUUCAGAGAUGUGUAAAUGAUAAAGGUUUUGAUUUUAGGGAAUUAAAGUAAGAAGACAUAAAAGUUUUAAUAUUUCACAUUUUAUUAAGUUUAACAUCGAAUAAUAAUGUAAAAUCAGAAGUUAGACGUAUUAUUAACGACCAAAGUCGAUAGUUAAAUUGUAUGAAUUUUGGGAUCGUUACAGUUGGUAUCAAAGUUGUAGGUUAGAAACCUUAGGUAGGAGUACCUUAGGCUAUAACCUUGGAAAAGAAAGUUGAAGAUUGUAAAGAAUGAACUCAAUUAAAGUUUGAACAAUAAGAAAUAAAUUUAAGAAAUGUAUAGGGAAAGGAUUAAAAUAUAUAUGAGAAGGUUCAAAGAGGAAUCUUGAAAACUUAUAAAAGAUGAGAAUCAAGAGUUACCUGACUCUAGUAAUAAGAUGUUAAGUGUUAUUAAAUAGACGAUGUCUACAAGAUGAAGAUUAUUAAGAUAAUAAGAAUGAACUCAAAUAGAGUUUAAUUGAUGAUAUAUUCAGAGAAUGCUUAUGAACAAGUUAAGAUAAUAUGUGUGGGUUCAAAGAAGAACCUUAAGAGUUAAAAUUGAGUCGAAUAAUCAUAAGACAACAUAACUAAAGAGGAAGUAAUGAGGAUCGUGAAACCAAAAUGAUCAUAAAAUAAGAAAGGAAUCAUAAAUAAGGUAAUUGUAGAAUAAGAUCACGACGUGAUCUGGUUAAGUUGUAAAAUGAUAGAUGGUCUGUAAUGAAUGAAUAGUUAUAGCUUGAUGCUAUAAGAUAAUGUACUAUGAUAGAGUACGAGGUAAACUCAUGAGUAGUUAUAAAUGAUGAGAUACAGAAAAUUUGUAUCAAGUAAAGAACAAGUUAUGAGAAAGAUAGAGUUAGGUGGGAUUUCAAUUGAGGACUCAUGUGAUGGCUGAGUUGUACAAACCUUUGUAUGGGCGAGGGUUUUGUACUUGUACUCAGUUUAUCACAUUGAUAAUCAUUAGAAUAUUGGUGUCGUGAUAUCAAUGUAUAUAUGGUGAAAAGGUGAUUCUUUUCUCAUGUGUAUAUUUGAUAGUUAUAGACCAUUAAGAUUAGUCAGAUAUUAUUAGGAUUAGGUGCGAGUUCUUAAAACUCAUACUUAUGAUAACUUGAUGACUCAUAAUCAUUUGUAUGUUUUUGAACCCCUAAGCAUGUGUGGACAGUCCCUGAUGGGUUCUUGGACUACAUAUUGCUAGGACAAGUUCCUAAACUCAUAUUAUUGUUGCAAGUUCCUGAACUUCUAAUGUGUGGUAAGUUUGAUGAACAAUAUUGGGUAUAGAAAAUUUGUAAAUUGAGAUAUAAGAAUUUUUAGUAUAAGAGCAUUGGUGGUGCUAGAAAUAAAAUGAAUUAGUAAGUAAUGAAGUUGACGGAGAGAAUUAGAUAUUCCAGAUCUUCUAGCUUUGCUAGAUUUUUGAAAUUUAUUGACUUCGUGCUGAUGUUUGUACUUCUAUUUUCUUGAAAAACAUUGGAUCAAAUGAUGGAACCAAUGAGUUUUAAAAACGAUAUCGUUAUUUGUAUGUCUAUGCUAAUUUUUUUGGCUAGACAAAAAAAAUGAUUUAAAAAUAUCAAAAUGUAUUUUGUUUUUCCGUAGUCAUUAAAGCAUCACUAAGUAUAAUGUUUUUAUGAAAAAUGAGGAAGUCAUCAAUACAGUUGAACCUAGUGUUGGAUGUGAUCAUAAGAUCGUCAGCCCACUACGGUAUGAUGUAGCAUGACAAAGUUAUAUAAUGACUGAAUCCUCAAUGUACUAUUAAGAUAUUACGGUAUCAUGACAUCAUAAAAAGGAUUUUUACUUUUCUUUAAAUAAGAAAGAUAUGCCAAUUGAAUUGGCUAAAACUAUUUCAAUUGGUGUUCGAGUUGUUGGUAAAAGUUUAAGUUAUUUGAUUCAGCUAGACGAUUAUUGAAUGAUGUUCAUGAAAUUCAAGUGUUUUUUGUCAAACUAUACCAAAACAAAUUGUUUUGGUGUGGAUUCAAAUGUUAAGAAGCUGAGGUGAACAACCCUGUAAAACGGGACAUGUUAUCGGAGACAAUGGUUCCGAAAGUAACGCAUAUAGUCGUUACGAUGUUAAGAUAUACGUUGUGAAUGGCGUAGGGGUACGAUAGGCUGAUCACCUAGAGUACUUGCAGAGAGUGUUUUCAGUUAGUGUGAUUGCUAAACAUUCUGUUAAAGAUGGUUUACUAUGGUGAUGCACUAUUAACAUAGAGAAGAGUUCAAGGUCCAUAUAGUCUUAUGAUUGUUAAAGGUUUAAGUUGAGAUACUUGAUAACCUAGGGAUGUAGUUCUAGGUCUUGUGACCCCUCAACAUGAUUUGAGAAUCUUUUAAAUUCCUGAGUUGUUCAUACUGCAUCCCAAUUAUUGAACAAUUAUGGAAGAUUCUUAUUAUUCUGAAGGGUGAAUGUCGCAAGGAGGAUAUUCCUUAGAAAAAAGUAAUUUGUGGAAACACAACAUGUGAUGAUGAGUAAAUUGAGGAAACAUAAUAAUUUCAAGAAAAAAAUGAAAUUCUAGAAAGAAGGGAAAUGCAAAACUCUUAUAAGAGGAAGAGAUGAGGAAUACAAUGAUCUUAGAAAGAUCCUUAGAAAAAGAAUUUGGUUGUAGAACCUAAUGAAUAAAUGAAUAUUAACAUGAAAUCUAUUUUGAUAAAUGUAAUGAACGAUUAUUAAUAAAUUAAAAUUUCGAUGAAGAAAUUCUUAGAAGAAGGGGUGAAUAUAAUACCCCAAGUGUUUAUGAAUUGAGUAUGUGAUAAUGAUAUUUAGAGGAAGGUAUUGAAUGUGUUAAAGAAUAUGUAAUACUCAAAUGUAAUUGAGUCUAAGUAAAAGUUAUGAAAUAAAACUUACAAGAAUUUAUUGUGAAGAAUGGUUGGAGUGGUAAUAAAUAAAACCUAUAUUAAGGUAAUGGUUGAAGAUAUGCAACGAUAAAUUUUGAAAAGAGAUUUGGUGAUAACUGAGUAAGGGAGGUUUCGUUGAUUUCGAGGACGGAAUCCUUAUAAGGGUGGAAGGAUGUGACAAUCCAGAUUUUUAGAAAUUAUUAGAUAAGAAUUUAUAAAAUAAAAUUCUUAUUAUUAGAUGUAGGAUUUUGAAAUAUGUGAUUUUAUGGGAAAAAGAUUAAAUAUAUAUGAGAUUUAAUAGUUAAUUAAACUAUUGAAGAAAUUAAAUAAAAUUGUUAUGGAAAGGAAUUAACUGAAUAAAUAUUGGUUAAUUUAAACAGAUUUGGGAAUUAUAUUAUGAAGUAAUAUAAUUUAAUUUUCAUGCCUUUAUUGGCGAUGAAAUUAUUAUGAAUUAAAUUUCAUAAAUAAUGUGAGUAAUUCACUUAAUUAAAAUAGUGAAUUAGUGUAAGCAUAUUUGUUUUAAUAAAUGAGGAAGUGAUAUAUUACAUAUGAGUGUAAUAUAUUAAUGUAAUAUGAUUGUGGAUCUCGUAAAUAAUUAAAAUAUUUAUUGAAUAAAAUAAAUAUUUUAGUUGGAAUAUUUAUGGAAUUUAAAAUGAAUAUUUGAUGGAAAUUAUUAUGGGAUAAUUUAUGUAUGUAUGAUACUAUUGAUCAAAAUUAAUAAUUUAAGAAUUGGUGCGUAUUUUAUUACAUGAGGAUAAUGAUAAUAUUCUAAUUUAAUUAAAUAAUUACAUUAGAAUAUUAAUGAUUUAUUAAAUAAAAUUAUAAUUGUUUAAUUAGAGAUUAUAAUUUUGUUAGUAAGAUUUAAUUAGAUUUAUUAAUAAAAUAAGUUUAAGUAAAUUUAAGUUUGACAAAUAUAACCUAUGAUAAAAAAAUUUAUUAAAAUAAUUGAAAGUGGUGCCUAAGGAAGCUAGCCAAACAAGGUCUUGUGACCUUUGGAGUUUGGUAAUCAAUGAAGGAAUUGAGCUUUUACGUUAAAAACAAAAAUGAUCAGAUAGCUUGUUCUUCAGUAAAAUGAAAUUUGGGAGAGUGGGAGAGUGAGAGAAUUCUCUGAGAAUUAGAGAAGAGCUUUGGAAGAACAAGAAGAAAAGAACUUUAUUAUCAUCUAAUUAGGUUAAGAAGGAAUCAAAAGGUAUUAAUCCUAACUUAAAACUCUCUACUCUUAUUUGCCUCAAAUAUUAGGUUUCUAAAAAAUUAAUUUGGGUUGAUGAAGGAUGGGGAUAUAUUUGUUUAUAGGUGUGUAUAAUGUGUGAUAUUUUAUUUAUUAACGAUUUUAGAGUUAUCAAAUUCAUGUACAUAUGUUUUUAGAAUAAGGAAUUUUAUUUAUGGCUUAGUAUAUGUAUUUUGGUCUAUUUAAGGCUUCAAUUAAUCACUACAAGAAAAUCGUCUAAUUCCGACGGAACUAAGUUCGAUGGACCUAUUCCCUCAAAGAUAAUAAGAAUUCCGAUGGAUUAUUUAGUCGAACAUAAUUCAAUCGAAACUAUAGUAAUUUCGAUGGAUGUUCGUCGGAAAUAGAUGCAUCCAUUUGGCACCAUUGUUCUCGCCAGCGCCCAUCUUAUAUUCGACUGAAUAGUGUUUAUCCUCGACGAAAUAUCCGUCGAGGAUACCUUAUGUACGACGGACUUAAGUUUGAUGGACAUUCGGUCAGAACUAAUCUUUAAACCUAAUUAAUCAACUUGUCUUCCCCAGCCGCCCCUCACUCUCUCACUUUGCUCUCUCUCUCUCAUUUCUCUCUCAUUUUACGCUCUCUCUCACUUCAUUCUCUCUCUAAGUCUCACUUCUCUCUCACUGCUCUCAUCUCCACCACCACCUUCGCCACCAACACCACCGGUUCCACCACCACCACCGUCGGUUCCACCACCACCAGCAGACGCCACCACCAUCGUCGGUUCCACCACCAUUACUGCCACCACCACCAGCAGCCACACACCACCAGGCACCACCGUCAGUUUCACUCCUUUAUUUUACACAUUAAUUCAAUUUCAAGGUUAGUUUUCUGCAAAGCAUUAGAUUUUUAGGGUUAAUUUGUUGUAAAUUGUUAAAUAAAAAUUAUUUUUGAAUGUCUGAAAGUUAUAAUAUUUCUAAAAUUUGUAUGAUAUUUCUGAAAUUUGUGGCUUAAUUUGUAUGAUGUUGUUGCUGUGAAUUUGUGGGUCAAAAAUUUAGGUCCUGUUGUUUAAAUUGGGAGUCUAAAAUAUGAAAUUUGGGUCUUAUUCUUCUUGUUUAUAUUGCUGAAAUUGGAAUUUUGAUUUUGGAAUGUGGACUGCACUGCAUAUUAUUUGGAAUCUGGAAAUUGCUGAAUAUUGAUAUUAUGAAGUGUAUAACAUAUCAAAUUUGGGUUCCUUAUCAUAAUGUAACUGAUUUUAGGACUGUUUUUAAUCUUGAUAUAUUUGCUAUUUUUGACAGAAUUUAUGACAGAAAUUCUGUCAGAAUUAUGAAAUUGCAGAAUAUUUGUGGGCCGUGCAUGUAUUGUAUUAGUAAUUAGUUUCCCAAUAUUAAUAAAUCAUAAACUAAGUACCAUUUACUUAGUUUCUUACUACUAAAAUAAAAUAAAAUAAAAUAAAUAUAAUUUAAUUUAGUUUAUUAAAUAAAAUAAAUUUUAAAAAUAAAAUAAAUAACAUAAUAUAAUACAAAAUAAAGUAAAGUAAAGUAAAAUAAUAAAUUAAAAUAAUUUGAAUAAAAUAAAAAAACUUUAAUUUAAUUUAAUAAAUAAAAUAUAAUUCAAUAAAAAAUAAAAUAAAAUAAAAAUAAUAAAAUAAAAUAAAUUUAAUUUAAUUUAAAUAAUCUAAAUUGAAUUAAAUUAAAUUUAAAUAAUCUAAAUUAAAUUAAAUUAAAUUUAAGAAAUUUAAUAUAAUUUAAUAAAAAAACAUUAAAAAUUAUAUAAUAUAAUACAAGAUAAAAUAAAAUAAUUUUAAUUACGAAAUUAAAUUAAAUUAAAUUAGAACUUAUAUAAUAUAAUACAAAAUAAAAUAAAAAGUAAUAAAAAAAUUUAAUUUAAUUUAGUUUAAUAAAUAAAAUAAAAUAAAAUGAUUUAAUUUAAUUUAAUUUAGUUUAAUAAAUAAAAUAAAAUAAAAUGAUUUAAUUUAAUUUAAUAAAGUAAAUUUAAUAAAUAAAUAAGCCAAUUAUUUAAUAUACUACAAAUUAAAAUAAAACAAAUAUAAUAAUAAACUAAGUAGGAGUGAAUGUCGAACAGUAGUCUUUAUAGAUUCUAAAUAACAAUUUUCAUAAACUAAGUACCACCUACUUAGUUUAUCAUCAUUGGCAAAAUAAACUAAGUAGCUAGGAGUGAAUGUCGAACAGUAGUCUCUAUAGAUCCCAAAUAAAAUUCUCAUAAACUAAGUACCACUUACUUAGUUUAUCAUUGGCAAAAUAAACUAAGUAGCAUUUGCAUAGUUUGCCACAAUUUUCAAUAAAUGCAAUAAUACUCUCCCUACAUAUAUGUACUCUUUCUUGUAUGCAGGUUUCGACCCGCAUAUACACUUCCUAGAGGUAAUAUUUUUUUAUGUUUCAUGAAAUUAUCUAAAUUUAUCACAUUAUAUAAAUUAUUAUUAGUAAUCGAAUUUGUAUCUCUUUAUAGGCUCCAGUCAGCGCCAGCGUCCGAGAGCACAUGUCGGACCAUCUCAUACGGGAGCUAGCUUUGAUGACGAUAUCUUCCGACGGCUUAUAGGGGCCGUGUCGGAUAGGUUCUGUAUCGAUCCGGUCUAUCGGCGUCAGUAGUUGCCUUCCAAUUCUCGUCUUCACUAGAUUUCUCAGGAUAUUAUAGCAGCCCUCUGCAGAGAGUACAGGAUUACCACGGGAGCAGUUCGACGCUUGGAGUGCCGAGAUGCUCCGGAUGGUGAUUACCCUCUUGGAGGAGGCUUUUCGUCCGCCCCCACCUACUCAGGUAUUCUUAUUGUUUAUGUUUUUUUCAAUUAAGGCUAGCUUGUUAAUUCUCAUAUAUAUAUAUAUAUAUAUAUAUAUAUAUAUAUAUAUACAGACUAAUGAUUUAUAUUUUUAAUUCUAUCAAUAAGGUGGCGAUGGCGAGCAGGUUGGCGAUGAAGAGCAAGAGCACGACGCUAAUUUCCAUACACCAGAGCAGCGUCGUUCACCUCCGCCCGAUGAUGAUAUUUUUACUAGUUUAUAGUUCAUUUGUAUUCAUGUUAUUGUAGAACAUUUGUACAUAUUGUAGUGUCUAAUUGUGUCUGUACAAGUAUGGUGAAUUAUAUUGUUUAUCAUUUAUGGAACAUUAACUUAUAUUUGUAAUUGGUUAGCUCAGUAAUGUUGAUGAUAAUAAGUUGAAGAUUACAUUUGGUGGAUAUUUGAAUGUGAAUGUGAAUGUAUGUGAAUGAUAAUGAGUUGGAUAUCGCAUAAUGAGUUGGAUAUUACGUUUUAGCGUUAACAAAAAAUUUUUGAAUGUGAGAUACAGGUUUAUAUUACUGUGUAUUGGGUUGUGACAGGUUACAGGUACAUAAAUGGGUUUAAACAAAUGGAAACUGAACUUUACAAAUCAGCAUUUAAAAAAAAUUACUGUUAUUUACGACAGAAUAAGGUGUUUCCGACGGAUAUUCCAUCGGUGUUAAUAAGAACAUAAUUUUUCAUAGACACUGUUAUAUUUUAAUUUUUAGUUGGAAAUAAGUUAAUUCCGAGGGAAUAUAGCCGUCGGAACUAAGUUAUCUCUGACACAAAUUUUGUCGGAAUUAAUAAUUAGCUAGUUUAAAUAAAUACCAGGUUAUUUUAGUAUUCAGUCCAAAAUAACGUAUUUCUGAGGGAAUAGAUCCAUCGAGUAUAAGAAAUGUAAUGUUUGACGAAAAAUUUUAUCCUAAUUAUUCAGUCGCAAAUAUAUUAUUUGCGACGCAUUUUUCGUCGGAGAUAAGUUCGUCGAAGAUAAGAAAAAUCUGACAGAGUUUUUGACGGAUUUUAUCUUCGACGCGUUUAUAUACGAUUGCAUUUCUGAAGAAAAUUUUCGUCGAAAAUGGUCUACUUUCGACUGAAUAGGCUUAUGUCCGAGGGAAUAUUCUGUCGAACCUAAGCUUUUUUCUUGUAGUGAAUGGUUAGAUCAUCUAUAUAAUCUGAAAUUGGUGCUAGCCAUUGUUAGUAUAUUGAAUUAAGAAAACAACGAAGGUUAAACGGAUCAAUUUGGUUAAGAAACGAAUUUGUAGUGAAUGAAUUCGCUACACAUGUUAAAACAUGAAAAUAGAACAUAAACAUGAGUUUUGGGUUAAGAUUUAGGUUGAUUAUUAUUUCUGUAAAUUGUUAUAAUUCUAUUAUGUUGUAUUUAUAUAAAUUACGGAUCAAUAGAAUCGAAAACGAACUAAUUUGGAUGUGUAUAACUCAAGUUAUGAAAAUUAGAAGGAGAAAAAGUUCAAAAAUCGCGAGAUUAGUAAACUACAGAAUCUGGCUCUGCUAACAGGUGCAGCUGCAUUGUGCCCUAAGUCUUUUGGGGUGCAGAUGCACUCUUGGGCGCAGCUGUGCUGUGUCCAAGGCUUAAUUAGGCACAGCUGCACUCUAGGUGAGUCAGGUGUGUCUAUUUUGACCUCCUGUUGUAAAAAAGCCAUAACCUUUUAAUAAAAACUAUAAUUGAGGCAGUUUAGGAUGAUUCAGAAAGAUAACAAGUAGAACUACAACUUUCAUUCCUUAAGUUAUUCGUUUUGAGGUCGGGAACAGGGGUAAAAGUGGCUAUCUUUGGGACUAUUGUGUUUUUGGAGGCAAUCGAGGGGCGUCGGGCUUGCACGUAUGCAAGUGUAGUGCUUUUGACGAUAAAAGAUGUUGUUCUAAGUUAUAAAACAUGAAUUUUAGAAAAUAUAAUGAUGCUUAACAUUAAUAAAUGAUGUAUUAGAUAAGUUGUAUAAGCAUAUUAAGCAUACACAAGAGAUAUAGUCAAAUGAAAUGAAUAUUAUAAGAUAUGAAAUAGGUUUAAUAUAAAACCAAUAAGUAGUCCUAGCAAGACUUUAACACUUGAAUGAACUUCGAGUAUGAAAUAUAGUUAGAUAUAAGUCAAAAGUUAACACAGUCAAAUUAAACAUUGUGUAUUGAUAAUAGGAAGGGUUGAGAUAUAGAGUAAAGUUUACAUUAUAACUACUAUGCAUUUCUAUGUGACUAAUAGUUGAUGUGCAUGAUUAUAUAAUUGUGUAGGGCACGUGAAGUACAAAUAGUUGUAAGAUGUUAAACUAUUACUGGUAAACAACGAUCAAGGCAAGUCUUUCAGUUCCUAUUUGUUAUGUGAACUUGAUGAUGAACUGUUUUAAAUUCUUUUGCAAAGAGCAUGAUGUUUUAUAUAUAUGUUAAAAAGAUGAAACGUUAAAGUCAAUUUCUGACUACGUUGAUUGAGUAUUGAAUGCUGAUUGAGUAAGAAACUCAAUUUUUAUACUUGUUAUAUGAACUGCAGCAUGUAUGUUAUGUUAGUCCAAUGUUUAUGAGAUAUAUGUUGAGCAUGUUUUUAUGUGCUACGUGAUACAUGAAAACUGUUGGAUUUGUUAGGUUGUCGAGCUCAACCUUUCAAAUAACCACUUUUGCAGGUUAAGGAUUCAAGGUAAUGGUAAGUGCUACUUGAAAGACAUGAAUCAGAUGUAAUGCAUGAAUAUUGAUAUACUUUGGCUGAGUUAUUAUUAUUUGAACCUUGUUUAAGGUUCCGAAUAAUGUAUGAUGUUUAAUAGAUAUUGAGUUUUAAAGUUUAAGUUUUGUUCGUUAUAUAAAGGGUAUUGAGCCUGGAUGUAUGUUUUAUUUAUUAACUCUAAUAAAAUGAGUAAUAAACUAAGUAUGGUUCAAAGGUAGGUAAAGAUAAAGGUUUUGAGAAAUGUACUUGAUAAAUCAUACUAAUUAUGUAAUAAUAAAAUGUAAAGUUUAAGUUAUCUGAUAUGUAAAGGUUAUCAUAUUGAAAUGUAAGAUUCUAUAUAAUAACUUUGAUGAAGAGAAACAUAAAAUAAAAUUGAUUUGGAGAUGUGUAAAUGAUAAAGGUUUUGAUUCGGGGAAUUAAAGUAAGAAAUAAAAGUUUUAAUUAUUCUGUAUUUUAUUAAGUUUAACAUCGAAUAAUGAUGUAAAAUCAGAAGUUAGAUGUAUUAUUAACGACCAAAGUUGUUAGUUGAAUUGUAUGAAUUUUGGGGUCAUUACAUCUAUCCAUUUUUGGGACACACAACUUCAGUAUGGGAUGUCUUACCAAAGAAAUUUAGUUUAACACAACAGUUUAUGCUCAAUAAACAAUAUCAGAUGAAUAAACGAUUCAUUUCUGAGUUAUGCUGAAGCUAUAGCAAUAAAUUUACAACAAUUGGCAAUUCAAAUUUAGGUUUGCUAUAGCAUAUCAAAAGCAAUUUUAAGAUAGGCAUCUUGUUCAACAAAUAAGUAGGGUUUGGUAACUUGCGUAAUUAAUAAUUUGGGUUUAGUUAACUUGUCUGAGCGAAGACCAGUCAAGCAAUGCCACUCGAUUCGUUAAUAAACACCUAAGAUGUUCAUUCAUAUAAAUCUAACAUAUUAGUAUUGAUAACAAUACUCAAAUACAUAAACUAUUUAUGUUCGGGUUAAGUUUGAUAUGGUUUCGGUGUUCAAAGACUUUAUCGGGUAAUUAAUAAGUUAAUAACUCGAUUAAACUUUAUUUAUAAGCUUUAUAAUAUUUUUAGAUAAUUUAAAUAUCUUUUAUAAUAAUUUUUGGAAGCUUAUAAUAAUUUUUAAAUAUUUAUUUAUCCCUUAAAUAAUUUUUAAAUAAUUUAUUUCUAUUUUUAAAUAAUUAAUAUUUACUUAGAAUAUUAUAAAAACUUUUUUUACUAUUUUUAAAUAAUUUAUAAAAAUUUAUUAUGAUUUUCAAAUCAUUUAUAUUAUUUUAAAAUAAUUAUUUAUUAUUUAUAAAUAAUUAUUAUAUUUAUUUUAUUAUUAAAUUAAUUAUUAAUAAUAUCCAAAUAAAUAAAAUAUUUAUUGAAUUUAUGUAAAAAUAUUAAAAAUUAAUUAUUAUAGCUUAAAAUAAUAUUUUAAAACUUUUUUAUAAUUAUUUAUAUUUAUUUAUUAAUUAUUUCUAAUUUUUAUUAAUUUAUUUAUUAGAAAAUAUUUUCUGUUUGUCGUUAAUGCCCUAUAGCGACAGAAAGUGUCACUAUAAGUGUUCUUGAGUUUCUGGAAAUUAGUUGAUCAUGGCCUAGAGACCACUUUGACCUUGAUCUAAUUCUAUAUUGUUGAUGAUUUUGGGUUUGAAAGUGUAUGAAUGUUAUAGUACUCAUACCAUAGUAUAAUAUCAUACCUUCAUGCUUUAACCUACAUAUAACAAGAAGUUAUAGAGGCUCAAAGUCACUAUCAGUGCUGUUCUUGAGUUUUUGGGUAACCCAAAAUAGUGUUCAUGGUUGGUCAACGGUUUUGUAUAUUCUAGAUCUUUCAAUCCGUGUGAUAGAUUUGUGUUUUGUUUGUUGUAACAGGUAGUCUAUAUAUCAAGGUACAUACAUGUACUACUGAUUUGGACGAAGUAUGAUUCUAAAGCCUCGAUCUAUGUUGGUCAAAGUACAACCAAAGGUUGUUCUUCAUUUUCAUUAGUUUUCGGGGUAACCCAGAAAACUUAGUCAUGCUCGAUCAACGAAUUUUGACCAUUAAUUCUGGUAAUCCUAUGAAUUGUUUAAACAUUUGAGUGUCAUAAAUAUGUAGUAUGCAUAUCAGAGUAUUAAUUCAUUACAAUUAGUCAUUAUAACAUCAAACAGAAAGCGAUUAACAAGUUGGUCAAAGUAACCGGUUCAACCUAUUCUUGAGUUUUCUGGGUAACUCAGAAAAUAGAACUUCGUGAUCGGUCAACCACCUAUAUCUUGCAAUAUAUGGUUCCAAUGAACCUAUUUUCUUUUAUAGAUUAAAGACCUCAUGUUAUACUACAACUAAUAUACAAUUAACAGACAUAACUACUAACAUACACGGAUCUACAGGCUCUGACAUUCGACUGUCAGACCUAGUUUUCCAAAAUUUCCAGAUUACUUAAAACACUAUUUUGAUGCAUCUAGAUGUUAUGAAAACAUGUUCUAUCAACUUAGCAUAGUUUUUAACAUGUUAUUACAUAUAUCUAAACAUCUAAACAACAAAUUAAACAUAACAUCAAAGAUCUAGCUUAAAAUUAGGGUUUGCACCUUUUCUUAAUUGAUUUUGAUUUCUGGCUACUAAAUCUGUUGUUGCUAUCACCAAGGCUUGUUUAGGCAGGUUAUAUGAGUGUAUAGGCUUGUAAAUUUUGUGAGUUUACACUGAAAUAAGGCUGCCUUUUAUAGAAUUUUCAAACUCGGGUUUUUGGUCAUUUAAUCACCUACUUGCCUCCCAAAAUAUCUGAUAUGUGACUUAGAUGCUGCUUGGGAGUUUGGAAGCAGGUCAUGUGAUGUUUUGAAACUAGUGUUGAUUACUCUUAACCUACUUGUGAGCUAGUUGAUCAAAUUAGUAGCUUAAUUAUGCCUUAAUUCUCCUUAAUCUUGAUUAGGGUUUUGGUUUUUAUGAUUAAGGUUGCAUAAUGAUGUUUAUUAGUACCUAAUUGAAGUUUAGCAAUCAUGAUUAGGUGUUAGGAUAACCUAAUUAGGGUUUAAUAUAACUAAUUAUGCUUAGGAUUUACAAAUUAGGGUUAGGGUUUGUAAUCUAAGGUUAGGGUUUAUAAUCUAGGGUUCCUAACUUAGAUUUUUCACAAAUCCUAACAAGCAUUAUCCGGAAAAAUUCAAGACUCCUGAUUUUGAGAAAUAUGAUGGAUUGGGAGAUCCUUAUACCCACUUAAAGGUCUUCAUUGGAGAGCUCGGAUCAUAUGCCGAGAAUGAAAAGCUCAGAAUGCAGCUAUUUCAGAAAAGUAUGACUGGAGAAGCCAGAGCCUAGUACACCAGAUUGGAUAACUAAAAAAUUCACAGUUGGGAGGAGUUAGCACAUGCUUUCCUCAGUCAAUACAGCUUCCAAACCCAGAUGGCUGUAGGCUGGUAUCAAAUUACCAAGGUCAAGAAAAAAAUCAAUGAGUCAUUCAGAGAGUAUGCCCAAGGAUGGAGACGUCUAGCUGCUUAAAUUAUCUCGUUUAUGAUUGAGUCAGAAAUGGUGAUGACCUUCAUAAAUAUUCAAGAAGCUCCAUUUUAUGAGGGUCCUAGCUGGAAUAGGAAAGCCAUUCUCAGAAAUGAUCAAGCACGAAGAAAUAGCUGAAAUGGGAUUGAAAUCUGGGAAGAUUCAAGACCUCGCCGCAUUAAAAGCCAUUGUUGAGCAUAUCCAAUCUGGAAGUUAUGGGAACAACCACCGGAGGGUCCAUAAGAAGAAAGAAGAGGAUGUUUCCUUGAUACUGCAAGGACAAAAAGACAAUCAAAACUUGCCUAUUCAAAGGAGAAACUAUUCCCCUUUUAAAGCUUAGUCUUCAAAUCCUCCCUUGCCAAAGAGUGGAGAAAUCAGAUGUACAAGAGUGUUCACACCCUUAGGUGAUUCACUAAAAAACAUUCCCAAACUUCUGACAGAUCAGAAGAAAAUUACUAAUCUCCUUCCACCAGCCAACCUGAGUGGGAAAGGUUUUAACACAAGUAAGAAGUGUGCUUACCAUGCUGGAGUUCCAGGCCAUGACACUCAUGAUUGUUGGGCCCUUUAGCAUAAGAUCUAGGAUUUAAUUGACAAUGGUGAGAUCAUGGUGACCAAGCCCGACCAACCACGUAUUCAAAACAACCCUCUCCCUCAACAUAAGGAAGAGGAGGCUAACAUGAUCAACCGGGGUAGUGGAGAGAGCUCCAAAUCCUUUAAAUAUGUGGGUGGUUCAUCCCAAAUCAACAAGGAUAAUUCCGAAAAAUGGGAGUAUUCACAUUUCCAGUUUCAUGAUGGAACGGGAGUUAAAAUCUCUUGGCGAACAAGUCAAUCAAUUGGCAGAACUAGUAAUUCAUCAACACCAAGUCAGACGUCAGUUGUUCAGUCAUGAGCAUGCUAACCUCAUUUCUCUUAUCACAAGAACUCCACCACUUAUCCCAGAAAAGUGAAACAUUGGAGGAAAUUCUUUCCAGAAAAGCAAAAGCUAAAUCCCGUCGGGACUUCGCCAGCAAAAGGGAAUUCACCUAUUUAGGCCAACCGAUGGAAGAAAUUUUGCAGAUGCAGAUCAAUGAGGGAAAAGUAAUAGCAUUGCUACCUCCAGUCAAUCCACGCUCAAAGAGGUUUGAUGCUAUUGGAGUAUGUCAAUACCACUCCCAAUCUCGAGGUCACAUCACUGAGGAAUGCUGGGCACUCCGCCAUCUUAUUCAAAACAUGUUUGACAGCGGUGACCUGUAAAUGGUAGAUAAUGAAGUUGUAUCAUCUAAGAAUGGGGACACAUUUCCUUCAAUAUGGAAGGAAGUUAUAGUAGUUAUAUCCUCUGAGGGAGAUUCAGCUGCCACACCUCUUACAAUUCAACCAAUUCAGUUCAAAGGAGUUGAAAACCCUUUGAAAGUGGCUACAACAAAGCCAAUCAUAUUAUCGUUCAGGCCACAAUAUCCGAUCAUCAGCCUUAAGAAAGUGCCAUUAAACUAUGGAGAGGCUGAAAGAUCAACAUCAAAUAUAAUUGCUGCAGUGUCUAAAUAAAAUCCAUUGUAUCUUCCUCAACGAGUGAUGAAGCCUAUCAUCCGAUCUAAGGGGAAAGUGCCCAGGGAAGAAGAUUAAAGAAUUCUUCUGCAAGAUGGGAUAACUCAUCAACUGGAAGUCAACAAGGAGGGCAGAAGAAGAAGAUCGAAGCAUGCUCAACCUGCGGAAAAACUCAUUUGGGAGUUUGCUUAAAAGGAAAAUGAGUGUGCUACAAUUGUGGUCAGGAAGGCCACAUAACACCUAACUAUCCUAACCCAAAGAAGGGUGCCUUCUUCACAUGUGGCUCAAAGGACCAUCUUGCAAGAGAUUGUCCUAAGAAAGGAUCGGGAGGGACGAGUUCAAGAGGAAAUAGAGGAAAUACUGGUGGACGCACUCUGACCAUUGCUGGACAAACCGCAACCAAUAGACCAACAGCCAGAACGUUCAACAUGACAGUGCAGGACGCGGUACAGUCUCGCGAUGUGGUGUCAGGUAUCAUUCCGAUCAAUAAAGUUAAUGCUUACGUGUUAUUUGAUUCGGGUGCUACUUGUUCAUUUAUAUCCGAUGACUUCGCUAAGAACUUAGAAUUGUUUAAGGACGAGUUAGAAUACCCCAUGAACAUAGAAAUGGCGAAUAGAGAAAUUAUCCCUGUUAAGUAUGUGCACAAGAACUAUAGAGUAGAUAUUAAGGGUAAUAUCAUGAACGUAGAUCUUAUCCCUAUUCGACUUGGAGAAUUUGAUGUUAUUUUGGGUAUGGAUUGGUUAUCCAAUAAUGGGGCGGUAAUCGACUGCCAAAAGAAGCGUAUUAACCUUAUGACUCCGUCAAAGGUUGUGUUUUAUGGUAGCAAGUCGCCUAAACAAGCGAGUUGUUUGACGAUGAUGCAGGCCAGGAGGUUGUUAAGGCAAGGCUGUGUAGGAUAUCUAGCUUACAUAGUCGAUAGUCAUAAAGAGAAUCCAAAAAUAGAUGAGAUACCAGUAGUGAGAGAUUUCACAGACGUAUUUCCGGAUGAUUUACCAGGACUUCCUCCAGAUAGAACAGUUGAAUUCGUGAUCGAUUUGGCUCCAGGAACGACCCCAAUAUCGAAGGCACCACACCGAAUGGCACCGGUAGAUAUGAAAGAACUGAUGGUCCAACUACAAGAAUUACUGGACAAAAAGUAUAUUCAACCAAGCGUAUCACCUUGGGGAGCGCCGGUUUUAUUUGUGAAAAAGAAGGAUGGGACGAUGCGGCUCUGCAUCGACUAUAGAGAACUGAAUAAGGUCACGAUUAAGAAUAGGUAUCCAUUACCGUGAAUCAACGACUUGUUCGAUCAGUUAAAGGGAGCAAAAUAUUUUUCAAAGAUAGAUUUGAGAAGUGGUUAUCAUCAACUAAAGGUGAGACCAGAGGAUGUACCGAAGGCAGCGUUUAGAACACAAUACGGUCACUAUGAAUUUCUGGUAAUGUCAUUUGGUCUAACGAAUGCUCCUGCAGCAUUUAUGGGCUUAAUGAAUGGAGUGUUCAAGCCGUUUUUGGACAAAUUCGUAGUGGUAUUUAUAGAUGACAUUUUGGUAUAUUCAAAAACCAAGGAAGAACACAAAGAGCAUUUGAGGAUGACACUAGAGACAUUGAGAAGAGAGAAGUUGUAUGCUAAGUUUUUGAAAUGUGAAUUUUGGAUUGAAAGAGUACAAUUUCUUGGACAUGUGAUUGAUAAAGACGGAAUUUCGGUGGAUCCCUCCAAAGUCGAAGCUGUGAUUAACUGGGAUCAGCCGAAGACGUCGUCGGAAGUAAGAAGUUUUCUUGGAUUAGCGGGUUAUUACAGAAGAUUCAUUUAGGAUUUUUCCAAGAUCGCAACUCCGUGACGAAUUUGACUAGGAAAUCGGUGAAAUUUGUUUGGACGGAGAAGAGGUUAAGUUCAGCACAUGUGUUAUCUCUUCCAGAUGACACAAGAAAUUUUGUGGUUUAUAGUGAUGCAUCGCAUAAAGGACUUGGCUGUGUGCUUAUGCAGAAUGGCAGAGUCAUUGCGUAUGCGUCAUGACAACUGAAAGAUUAUGAGAAGGGGUAUCCAACCCACGACUUGGAGUUAGCUGCAGUGGUUUUUGGUUUGAAAAUCUGGAGGCACUAUCUCUAUGGGGAGAAGUGUGAAAUAUAUACAGAUCACAAGAGUCUGAAAUAUAUUUUUACACAGAAAGACUUGAAUAUGCGCCAAAGAAGGUGGUUGGAGUUAAUUAAGGACUACGAUUGUGAGAUUUUAUACCAUCCGGGUAAGGCAAAUGUGGUGGCCGACGCCUUAAGUAGAAAAGUGUUGAUAAAGUGCAAGUAUACACGGUCAACAAGUAAUAAAGUGAAAGUAGAGUAUCGUUCCCACGAGGAAUUAUUUAAUAAAAAUCACCAAGUACUAAUUCUUAACCAAACUAAUUUUAUUUAAACAAUCUCAAAUCGUGUUUUUUCUAAUUAAGAAAACUAAAUUAACUAAUUAAAACUAAGAUUUUAACGAAUGAAUUCAAAUAAAUAAAGAUUAAGACUUCAAUAUCCCCAAUUAUGAAUUAUAAAUCAAUUAUCCAAUUAUCCCAAUUAUUAUGCCUACUGAAUUGUUAACANNNNNNNNNNNNNNNNNNNNNNNNNNNNNNNNNNNNNNNNNNNNNNNNNNNNNNNNNNNNNNNNNNNNNNNNNNNNNNNNNNNNNNNNNNNNNNNNNNNNNNNNNNNNNNNNNNNNNNNNNNNNNNNNNNNNNNNNNNNNNNNNNNNNNNNNNNNNNNNNNNNNNNNNNNNNNNNNNNNNNNNNNNNNNNNNNNNNNNNNNNNNNNNNNNNNNNNNNNNNNNNNNNNNNNNNNNNNNNNNNNNNNNNNNNNNNNNNNNNNNNNNNNNNNNNNNNNNNNNNNNNNNNNNNNNNNNNNNNNNNNNNNNNNNNNNNNNNNNNNNNNNNNNNNNNNNNNNNNNNNNNNNNNNNNNNNNNNNNNNNNNNNNNNNNNNNNNNNNNNNNNNNNNNNNNNNNNNNNNNNNNNNNNNNNNNNNNNNNNNNNNNNNNNNNNNNNNNNNNNNNNNNNNNNNNNNNNNNNNNNNNNNNNNNNNNNNNNNNNNNNNNNNNNNNNNNNNNNNNNNNNNNNNNNNNNNNNNNNNNNNNNNNNNNNNNNNNNNNNNNNNNNNNNNNNNNNNNNNNNNNNNNNNNNNNNNNNNNNNNNNNNNNNNNNNNNNNNNNNNNNNNNNNNNNNNNNNNNNNNNNNNNNNNNNNNNNNNNNNNNNNNNNNNNNNNNNNNNNNNNNNNNNNNNNNNNNNNNNNNNNNNNNNNNNNNNNNNNNNNNNNNNNNNNNNNNNNNNNNNNNNNNNNNNNNNNNNNNNNNNNNNNNNNNNNNNNNNNNNNNNNNNNNNNNNNNNNNNNNNNNNNNNNNNNNNNNNNNNNNNNNNNNNNNNNNNNNNNNNNNNNNNNNNNNNNNNNNNNNNNNNNNNNNNNNNNNNNNNNNNNNNNNNNNNNNNNNNNNNNNNNNNNNNNNNNNNNNNNNNNNNNNNNNNNNNNNNNNNNNNNNNNNNNNNNNNNNNNNNNNNNNNNNNNNNNNNNNNNNUUACUGGAUAAAGUUAAGGAGGCUCAACUUCAGGACGAAGAAUGUGAGAAAGUGAAGAAGAAGAUAUCUGAAGGGAUUGAACCUAGAUUCAAAAUAAACAGUGAAGGACUACUAAGAUUUGAGAGAAGAAUUUGGGUACCACCAGUACCAGAGAUUAAGGAAGAAAUUUUGAGCGAGGCUCACAACUCAAGAUAUUCGAUUCACCCUGGUAGCACCAAGAUGUACCAAGAUCUUCGACAACACUUUUGGUGGCCAAAUUUAAAACGAGAGGUUGCAGAAUGUGUUGCCAAAUGCCUGACAUGUCAGAAAGUAAAAGCAGAACAUCAGAGACCGAGUGGAUUGCUACAACCUUUAUAAAUUCCAAAAUGGAAAUGGGAACAUAUUACGAUGGAUUUCGUGGUUGGCCUAUCGAUGACUCAGAAAGGCUACGACACAGUAUGGGUUAUUGUUGACCGAUUGACAAAAUCCGCACACUUCCUUCGGAUCAGAAUCAGAUUCAACCUAGAUCAGUUGGCAAGGUUAUAUGUGAAAGAGAUUGUUUUAAAGCACGGAGUUCUGGUAUCAAUUGUUUCUGAUAGAGAUCCGCAUUUUACGUCAAACUUCUGGAAACGUCUACAGGAAUGCAUGGGUACACAGUUACGAAUGAGCACAACAUAUCACCCUCAGACAGAUGGACAUAGUGAAAGAACAAUUCAGACAUUGGAAGAUAUGUUAAGAGCUUUUAUAAUGGACUUUAAAGAAAAUUGGGAUGACCAUCUACCGCUUGUAGAGUUCGGCUACAACAACAGUUACCAUGCUAGUAUUGGCAUGCCACCCUAUGAAGCGUUAUACGGCAGAAAGUGCAGAACUCCAUUAUAUUGGGAUGAAGUUGGCGAAAGACAACUACUAGGCCCGGAAUUGGUACAACAAACAGCAGAAAUAGUCAAAAUGAUCCGAGCGAGAUUGACAGCAUCUCAAAAUAGACAGAGGAAAUACGCCGAUCCACACCGUAAGAAUGUUGAGUUCGACCUGGGUAGUUAUGUGUUCUUAAAGGUCUCUCCUUGGAAGGGAAAGAUCAGAUUCGGAAAGAAAGGGAAAUUGAGCCCAAGAUUCAUUGGACCCUUUGAAGUUUUGAGAAGGGUCGGAGAAGAUGCUUAUGAGGUAGCCUUACCUCCAUCUCUAGAGAAUGUCCACAACAUUUUCCAUGUCUCAGUCCUACGCCCCUACAAACCUGAUUACAAGCACGUGAUUGAAUAUGAACCCCUACAUUUCGACAAAGACUUGUCUUACGAAGAAAUUCAUGUUCAGAUUGUUGACCGCAAAGAACAAGUUCUGAGAAAUAAAGUAAUACCUUCUAUUAAGGUAAUUUGGAGGAACCACAAUGCUGAAGAAGCUACGUGGGAACUCGAAGAGAAUAUGAUGAAAAUUUUUCCUCAUUUGUUUACUUAGAUUGUUAUAAGCGAUUCUGNNNNNNNNNNNNNNNNNNNNNNNNNNNNNNNNNNNNNNNNNNNNNNNNNNNNNNNNNNNNNNNNNNNNNNNNNNNNNNNNNNNNNNNNNNNNNNNNNNNNNNNNNNNNNNNNNNNNNNNNNNNNNNNNNNNNNNNNNNNNNNNNNNNNNNNNNNNNNNNNNNNNNNNNNNNNNNNNNNNNNNNNNNNNNNNNNNNNNNNNNNNNNNNNNNNNNNNNNNNNNNNNNNNNNNNNNNNNNNNNNNNNNNNNNNNNNNNNNNNNNNNNNNNNNNNNNNNNNNNNNNNNNNNNNNNNNNNNNNNNNNNNNNNNNNNNNNNNNNNNNNNNNNNNNNNNNNNNNNNNNNNNNNNNNNNNNNNNNNNNNNNNNNNNNNNNNNNNNNNNNNNNNNNNNNNNNNNNNNNNNNNNNNNNNNNNNNNNNNNNNNNNNNNNNNNNNNNNNNNNNNNNNNNNNNNNNNNNNNNNNNNNNNNNNNNNNNNNNNNNNNNNNNNNNNNNNNNNNNNNNNNNNNNNNNNNNNNNNNNNNNNNNNNNNNNNNNNNNNNNNNNNNNNNNNNNNNNNNNNNNNNNNNNNNNNNNNNNNNNNNNNNNNNNNNNNNNNNNNNNNNNNNNNNNNNNNNNNNNNNNNNNNNNNNNNNNNNNNNNNNNNNNNNNNNNNNNNNNNNNNNNNNNNNNNNNNNNNNNNNNNNNNNNNNNNNNNNNNNNNNNNNNNNNNNNNNNNNNNNNNNNNNNNNNNUAUAUAUAUAUUGCAUAAUUCCAUAUCAUCAGUUUCAUGAAAUUUUACAGUAUACGAUUACAGAGUACGUGAUAUGGCCAUAUGGCCUUAUACGUGAUUUUUAUAUGUCAAAUAUAAUUUAUUUUGAAAAUUCACACAUUGAUAUGAUUAUGCAUGUUAAAAUGAACAAAAUGAAACUUGAAUGGUUUGAUUUGGCUUUAUAACGAAUCCGUAGCAUUAAAAUCCAUGUUUUUGUUCAAGAACUUCAAGAACAUCAAGAACAGUACAAUUUGCAUGCUCUAAUUCUAUGAUUAUGUGUUUUAAUGGGUUAAAAUCACUCUAUAUAAGUUGGGUAAUGGUUAUGUAUAAAUUCUAGCAUGUGGGUAUGUUUAAAUUGGUGAAAUUAAUGAUCACGCAGAGUUUAUUUCGCUGAAUUCUGUGUUCUUCGCGAACUUGAAAUUUAGAAUUUGGAGUGUCGCGCCGCGGCGCCAACUCCAGGCUUGAGACUCGCGCCGCAGCGCCACCACGCCGCAGCGCCAAGACAUAGUAUAAAAGUGGCGCCGCAGCGCCACUUAGCAAAAUGGUCAGAAAAUGAGUUUUUAAAAGUGUACAAGUAUGGAAAUGUGAUAGCAACUUAGUCUAAUGAUUAUAAAGACUUGUUCGGACUCCUCGUUGGAUGGCAGGCAUCUUUGCCAUUGGAAAUUCUGUUAACCAAAGGCUUCUGAGCCGAAGAUUGAGGAACAAGAAGAGAUCUAUUAAGAGAAAUCUUUAUUCGAGAGCAAAUCUUAACAGUUACAUCCAAUCACAAACUACACGAAAGUUUCCCCUUUUUCAUGGAGAUUUACCCAUCACAGAGAACUAGCAAAGAGAUUCACACGGGGCUUAGAGUGAGUUGUCUAUAGGUAUUCUCUACCUACCCACCAGUGUCUCCAUCUCCGGCCAAGGCCAACCGAACUAUUCAUCUUUCUUUCCAUCCCCACGGCCCCGACCAGCAACUGCAAAUGAACACCCGCCUGCAUAACCUUUCUCCGUCAUCCGCUUAUCCAUUCUUGGUGUAAAACUCAAAUGAUUGGUGUCAGAAUUUUUCACUGUCUUACUUUGGCCCCUCUCCUCUCU